GACAGAGGGGGCAAGCGUUGCUCGGAAUUACUGGGCGUAAAGGGCGCGUAGGCGGCCUGUUAAGUCGAACGUGAAAUCCCCGGGCUCAACCCGGGAACUGCGUCCGAUACUGGCAGGCUUGAAUCCGGGAGAGGGAUGCGGAAUUCCAGGUGUAGCGGUGAAAUGCGUAGAUAUCUGGAGGAACACCGGUGGCGAAGGCGGCAUCCUGGACCGGUAUUGACGCUGAGGCGCGAAAGCCAGGGGAGCAAACGGG
rnacentral:rRNA from 1 species